GAUGAACGCUGGCGGCGUGCCUAAUACAUGCAAGUCGAGCGAAUGGAUUGAGAGCUUGCUCUUAUGAAGUUAGCGGCGGACGGGUGAGCAACACGUGGGUAACCUGCCCAUAAGACUGGGAUAACUCCGGGAAACCGGGGCUAAUACCGGAUAACAUUUUGAACCGCAUGGUUCGAAAUUGAAAGGCGGCUUCGGCUGUCACUUAUGGAUGGACCCGCGUCGCAUUAGCUAGUUGGUGAGGUAACGGCUCACCAAGGCAACGAUGCGUAGCCGACCUGAGAGGGUGAGCGGCCACACUGGGACGGGGACACGGCCCAGACUCCUAAGGGAGGCAGCAGUAGGGAAUCUUCCGCAAUGGACGAAAGUCUGGCGGAGCAACGCCGCGUGAGUGAUGAAGGCUUUCGGGUCGUAAAACUCUGUUGUUAGGGAAGAACAAGUGCUAGUUGAAUAAGCUGGCACCUUGACGGUACCUAACCAGAAAGCCACGGCUAACUACGUGCCAGCAGCCGCGGUAACAC
rnacentral:rRNA from 1 species